GUGCCAGCCGCCGCGGUAAUACCGGCAGCCCGAGUGAUGGCCGAUAUUAUUGGGCCUAAAGCGUCCGUAGCUGGCCAGACAAGUCCGUUGGGAAAUCCACGCGCUCAACGCGUGGGCGUCCAGCGGAAACUGCCUGGCUUGGGGCCGGAGGACUCGAGAGGUACGUCCGGGGUAGGAGUGAAAUCCCGUAAUCCCGAACAGACCACCGAUGGCGAAAGCACUUCGAGAAAACGGAUCCGACAGUGAGGGACGAAAGCCAGGGUCUCCAACCGGAUUAGAAACCCCUGUAGUCC
rnacentral:rRNA from 1 species